UUAAUUUCACGCUGUCUUAAGUGGCUGUAGUCACGUUAUUUACCAAUAUUUUUAAAUGGUGACAAUAUUCCCCAGUCUGAAAAGUGGUGACGAUGUACCUGACUUGCUUGCCAUAGACAACAAGAAGUGGUGUUUCAUGCAUGGUGUGGAGUUGCUUGAGGAUGCAAAAUCAUUGGUGCAAAAGGCUUGUCUAAGAUAAGCUGGCAGUCUACACCGCAUGGCCUGCGUUGCUGACAUUGAGUGAAGUUAAUGCAGAGUUCCUGUGCCUGACAGAUACUUGAGGAAGCAUCUUGGAGGUUCUCAAGGAGAAGGGAGGCGUUGCCAGAAGGAAGGUAGGAUAACUCAUGGCUCCAACAGCUAAUGGAAACAUUGUGUUUGAGUUGCAAACAAUCUAAUGAAGUUGGGUAUUGCGUAUUAGAAGGUCAGACAUUAGGUGUGGGAGACGCAUGGCCCACCUCUAGGUUCACUGACUCUGAAUUUUGAACAGUUCUGAUUAUGAUGUUCACAAACGAUCUGCACCCCAAUAAAGAGAGCAUGCGAUAAAUGGCACCUGCAUAUCACUGACAAGCACACUAUUAAAUGCCCCCUAUUAGUGGCCAUGGUUGCCAUUCACUAGACAUCAGCAUUUUUACAUUUAGUGCCAUUAAAGCUACAUAAAAAGUGUGUGCACAGUGUUAAGCUUUCUGCAUUUUCUUUUUCCACCAUCAGGACUAGAGUGGCGAAGUGAUCCAAAGGCAGACUGCACAUCUACGUAUAUGGUUUGCAAGGAACAUCCCGUGCCAGAGACUGUGAUACAAGGCAUGGAGCUGUACAGUGAACUCGGAGCAUCUCUUGUGCAUGUGUGAUGCUCUUUGGACUCGGUUACCGGUAUAUACCCUCAAUCUCAACUCUGUGGAUUUGGAUUUACAAUUUUAAGUAUCCAGAUGAACUGAAAUAUAUGUUCUGGUGAA